GAUGAACGCUAGCGGCAGGCCUAACACAUGCAAGUCGAGGGGUAGGAGACUUCGGUUUCUGAGACCGGCGCACGGGUGCGUAACACGUAUGCAAUCUACCUUGUACAGAGGGAUAGCCCG
rnacentral:rRNA from 1 species